GGGAGCCUGGUGAGGUUCAGAGAAGGCUUCUCCGUGGUGGAACGCAGCAGCGAUAUCCUGGAGGAUCCAACAUGGUAAGUUCUGUAAGGCAGGAACCAAGGGGAGGGAGAGGCAUUCGCCUCACCAAAGCCAAGGAAGAAUCUACCAGGUAAUCACAUUUGAUUAUACCAUGCGGGCGAUGGGGCUGGCAGACACGGGGCGUCAGGAGAUGUGACAAGAGACCAGGCUGGAAGGCUAAGAAGGGACUCUUUGUCAUGCUCCGGAGUUUCUUCUUUAUUCCAAAGGCAAUGAGAGGGAACGAGAGCUUUUUGUCCUGGGUGCGGCUAACCGGAUUUCCCCCAAAGUGGAACUGUCCAUAGUCCACCCCCCCCCCACCCCCGCCAACAGCCCCACUUCCCUUGGUCCCUGAGCAGCAAUUGAUUGGAGGAUGGCGGGGAGGGGAGACAUUUGGCCCAAGGAUUCCUGAUUGUAGGUUGGCUUACCAGUGGGCGGAAGGACACCUGCCCCUGGGAGUCUGAGCCGGGAGUGCCUUGAGGCCCUGAAUGGUCAGACCGGGUGAGGAACAGCUGGGCCAGGCUGAGUUUGUGAGGGGACAUUCUGGGUUACAAGCCCCAAAUACAUGCCCUCUGUCCCCCAUCUCCCCGGGUCUGGGUGACGGGCGGCUCUUGUUUCAGAUUCCCAUGGUAAUCCGUUUUUCUUAUGAACUCUCCUCGAAUCAAAAUGACUUGAUAUCCCAGAAGAGGUUCACUGAAGGAUGUUAGAAUGUUUCUUUUUUGUUUCCUUAAUGUUUAUUGAUUUUGAAGAGAGGCUCUGUGCAAGUGGGGGAGGACAGACAGAGAGGGAGAGAGAGCAUCCCAAGCAGGCUCCACACUGUCAAGCCCAGUGCGGGGCUUGAACUCAGGAACCGUGAGGUCGUGAUCUGAGCCGAAACCAAGAAUCUGACACUGAACCGACAGAGCCACCCCAGGGCGCCUGAAGGAUGUUUCUUAAGUCUGGUUUAUUGAGAUUUACUUUACCUUCAGAAAAAAAUCACAUUUUAUGGGGUUUGGGCAAGGUAUACAAUUGUGUCACCACGACGUCAGUGAAGAUACAGACCUGUGUCGUUGCCCAAAAGCUUCCCUCUUGGCCCUGCGGCCCCCGCCCCAGUCCUGGCAACCUCUCUCUUCUACUUUAUGGCUCCCAGUUUUGCCUUUUUGAGAUUGUCAUAUGGAUGAAAUCACAUGGUAGGUGGCCUUUUCUGCCCGGCUUUUCUCACCUAGUGUAAUGCAUUUGGGAUUCACCUAUGUCAGUUCAUGAGUCAACAGCUGUUCCUUUUUAAAUGCUGCAUAUGACGCAUGGAUGCCUGUGCCUCGAUGUGUUCAUCCACUCACUGGCUGAUGAAAAUUUGGGCAAGUCCCAGUUUGGGACAAUUAUGAAUAAAACGGCCACCCGGGUUUUUCUGGGGACGUCAGUUUUCAUUUCUCUUGGGUAAAUAAUAGAAGCGAGAUUGCUGGGUCGUAUGAUAUGUAUUUGACUUUAUAAAAGCCCACCAAGGGGCGCCUGGGUGGCUCAGUCGGUUCAGUAUCCGGCUCUUGAUUACGGCUCAGGUCGUGAUCUCACAGUUUGUGAGAUUGAGCCCUGUGUCUGGCUCUGCACUGAGCCUGCUUGGGAUUCUCUCUCUCCCCCCCCCUCUCUGUACCUCCCCCUCCCUCAUAAUAAAUGAAUAAACAUGAAAUAAUAAUAAUAAAAAAGAACCCGCCACACUGUUUUCAAAGUGAUCGAAGCCAUUUGCACCUGCACCAAAAAUGUCUGAGCAUUCCAGUUCCUCCCUAUCUUGAUCGAUACGUGGUAUCGUCAGGCCUUUGACUUUCAGGCAUUUCACUUGGUGCGUGAGGGUAUGUCAUUCUGAUUUUAAUUUGCAUUCUCCUCAUGGCAAAUAGUGUGAGCCUUUGCAAGCACCUCCUGGGGCUUUUUCUGAGGCAUCUCCAUCGUAACUGAAAGAAUGUUGUGCUCCUUAGGGUGAUUUGGGCUGCGGGGAACAGAGCAGGGCUCACCACCCCCCUCCCUCCCUGCCAUCAUCCAGGACCUCGGCACCUCCCACCCUGCCCUCGGCCACUCCCACUGCCGGCUCUGCCCUAUAACUGUCCCCCUCCCCCCCCCGUGCUGUAGAGGUCACAGUGCAUACGUAGCCCCAGGUAUCGCUUCCCCGUAUAGCUGCAUCUGAAGGCAGAAAGGAAACAUUCCUCCUUUCUAUAAGGUUCCUCAUUCUACAAGGCUCCAGAUUUCUUCUCACAUCUCAGUGGUCAAAAAUGGUCUCGGGCCCAAGCCCUGGCAGCACCUGGCGCCUUUAACCUCUCUCUUGCGGGGUACAGGGUCAGUCAGCAAGAGAGGAGGCUCAAGAGAAAGGUGGUUGGUAAAUGAAUGACCAGCAGCCUCUGGCCAAAAGCAUGUAGCCUUUAUGGCAGUGAAAAGCCAAGACCCCCACCUCCUUUAAAAGUGGCUUCCUGGGGCUCCUGGAUGGCUCAGUCGGUUGAACAUCCAACUUUGGCUCAGAUCAUGAUCUCACGGUUCGUGGGUUCCAGCACCACAUCGGGCUCUGUGCCACAGCUCGGAGACUGGAGCCUGCUUUGGAUUCUGUGUCUCCCUCUCUCUGCCCGUGCCCUGCUCGUGCUCUCUCCUAUCUCUCUCUCUCUUUCAAAAAUAAAUAAACAUUAAAAAAACAGUGGCUUCCUGUGGCACCUGGAUGGCUCAGUCGGUUGAACAACCGACUUUGGCUCAGCUCAUGAUCUUUCGGCUUGUGAGUUCGAGCCCUGCAUUGGGCUGGCUGCUAUCAGCACAGAGCUGGCUUCAUAUCCUCUGUGUCCAUCACUCUCUGCCCCUCCCCUGUUUGUGCUCUCUAUCAAAAAAUAAGCAAACAUUAUAUAUAUAUAUAUAUAUAUAUAUACAUUUAUGUAUAUAUUCCGAGUGCAUGCAAUUCUGAAUCCCAAGGUACGCAAACCCAGUUAUGCCUCUAAACCAUGGGCUCCUUUUCAGCCACUUAAAAAAUAGUCAAGCCAGCCCUUAAACUCAAUUAGAAGUUAAUCACCCACUCAUAGCAUACCAACUCUACUUAAUGAAAUAUAUUUCCAAGCCCAACACGCUUGAUGGUUUUAAUAACCAACAUUCCAGAGCUAAAAGGGGAAUCCAAAAUAAGAACAAAACUAUUUAAUGGGCGAAACGUAUCGAGAGCGACUGAAGAUUUAGUAUGAGCACAACUUCCACGGUGCACGCGAAAGCUAGCGAAGGCUUGUUUUCAAGGCAGCAUGGCAAAGUCAACGUUUGAAUCGCUACACUGAGAAGCUGCUGCAGUUAGCAUACGUUCUUUAAGAGGAUUAAUCUGCCUGCACGUCGUCCUGUGAGGCUACACAGAAAAAGAACAGCUAAUCCCGGGGACGCACUGGAGGGAUCCCACAGCCAGCGCUCGAGGUGGCCAGAAACCCCGUGCACGGGGAGGCCGGGGGAGCCAGUGCCCCAUCCAUCCUGGGGCCCCCAGUGCUCCUGCUCCACAAGUCUGUUUCACCAUAAUGUGCAGAGUUUAUAACCCAGAGCAGUUGUUAUUUAGCACACACGGCGACUGAUGGGGUGAAGAUCUGGGACAGGUUUCUCCAGGAGAGAGUUUUUUCCUUUGUUCUCCUUACUUUUAGUUCUAUCUCUUCUCCCUCUUUCUUUCACUCCUUCACCCUCCAAACGAGCCCUAGUUCUUUUUAUUUUAUUUUUUAUAUUUAUUGUUUUGGGGGGGAGAGGAGGGGCAGGAGGAGGGGCAGGGGGGCAGAGGGAGUGGAGGCAGUGGAUGUGAAGCGGGCUCUGAGCUAAGGGCUGUCAGCACAGAGCCCGACAUGGGGCUCGAACUCAUGCAUCACGAGAUCAUGACCUGAGCUGAAGUCGGACGCUCAACUGACUGAGCCACCCAGGCGCCCCAACAAGUCCCAUUUCUUCAGCACAUGCCUCACUGUCGGCAGGUGAUAGCCGUACGUCCAGUCAUACACGGUACCAGGCACUCUGUGUACAUGUCACAGUUAAUCCCAUCAACCCGUUUUGAGGCAAACGUGAUGGUCUCAAUCUCAUACUCAAGGAGGCUGGCUCAGAAACGCCCCGUGACUUCCCAAGGUCACUUAACCACGGGAGCUGGGAUUCGAAGCCACGUUUCUCUGACCCGAGUCCCAUCGUCUCCCACUCUCGGCUCCACUGUGGUUUCUCGUCAGUGUGUUAUUUUCCGUGUAACCGGCUAUUUACGGGUGUGACCGAAUAGGAUUUCUUUUGUGCAAGAUCCCGCGAUUAGAUUUCAACACUGUGGACUUCUACGUCUUUACGGAAGGGGUUUUCCUUUGUUUUAGGAUCAGAAGAUGUGAUGUCAUUUCUGGUUGGGCACGUGUCCCUGAAUCCAGUGUGGAAGAAGACAUUAAGUGCUCUAUUUUAGUUAGAGAUUUUAAGCCCCCCCCUCAAAUCCCCCUGCUUUGAAGGGGUUUCGGGGAGGCGGCUGGGAUGCUAGCUUGAGAAUUCUGACACAUCUGGAGACCGGACACACCCACAGGAUGGGCAGACCCAGAAAUAGGCAAAGGACGGGUGGUUCAAUCACUUACACGUCUGGCUCUUGGUUUCUGCUCAGGUCACUACCUCACGGAUUCAUGAGUUCAAAGGCUGUGCUGUCUUGUGCUCUGUGCCGGCAGGGUGGAGCCUGCUCGCAAUUUUCUCUCUCUCCUUCCCCCACUCGCGCUGCCCCUCCCCCACUCGCGCUGUCUCUGUCUCUCUCAAAUAAAGAACAAAAAAAAGGAAGAAAGAAGGAAGAGAAAUAUGCAAGGAAGGAGCCACCCCUGGAGAGGGGGGUCUGGGUCAGAGCAAACUCCAUAUAUCCGAAAAGCCCACAAGAGGUCGGAGCCUUGCAAGCCGGUGACCCUCCUGGAGAUGGAGCGUCAGGUGACAGCCGAGCGUCUGUCACAGGGCAAGUGGAUGGAGGUGGCUGCCAGGUAUAGCCAGGGAAGGAUGCCCAGAGCAGGCACCCAGUACUCGGGCGAGGAUGAGACAGGGCUUCGGUCCAGAAGGAAGUGGGUCAGGAGGUCAAGGUCUGUGCGCCAUCAAGGAGGACACCCACCCCGUGGCUCGAACUGGGACGCGAGUCUACGCAGAACGUCCAUCUGGGGCACCUCCGUGAGACCUCUCCCGCCCAGGUUUCCCUUAGGACAAGACCCCAAAGGCCCAGCUUCUGCGGGGAGGAAUAAGGGCAGGAAAUCACGCAGCUCUGAGAGCACUAAGAGUUCCAGUGGCUUCCGCGUCUGCUCUGGGUUCACAAACACCACGACCGCUUAACAAACACUGAUGAGAUGCUGACCACCUGUGAGCACAGGAGAAGUCCAGGUGAUGGCGGUGGCCUUCUUACAAAGGCUUCCUUAAGGGGACUUGGGGGGGGGGGGUCACAACAGACCCUAGAAGGAGUCAUCGAUGACCGGAGCAGAGGCACCCCCAGGAACUCCUUGCUAGGCAGGGACCCCAGAGUUCAGGAGCGCAGUCAGCAAGGGCUGUGGCUGGGAGCUGCUCCCUGAGAGCAACUCUGCCAGUCACGUGUUUAUGACAAUCAGGAGACGGGAUUGUCACCCACUGAGACAGCUGUCCUACUGCCUCAGGGGACAUGCAAAGGGAAAACUGGGGGCUCUGUCUCCUGUUCUGGCCAAGAACGUGUGCUUGGGAAUCAGACAGGCCAGCCCCAAUUCUAACAUUGCUUCUCAUUGUGUGGUUUGGGACCAAAAAAAAAUGACUCAGUUUCCUUAACCCCAAUGUCCUUGGCUAUAAAGUCAAGAUAAUAAUUCUGGGGCACCUGGAGGCUCAGUUGGUUAAGUGUCUGACUCUUAGUUUGGGCUCAGGUCAUGAUCUCAAGGUCCAUGGGAUUGAGCCCCGUCUCAGGCUAUACACCGACAGCUCAGAGCCCGCUUCGGAUCCUCUGUGUUCCCAUCUCUCUCUGCCCCUCCCAUGCUUGUGCAUGCUCUCUCUCCCUCUCUCUCUCUCAAAAAUAAAUAAACUUAAACGUAUUUUUUAAAAUUCUUACCUUAUAUGAUGGUUUUAGUAAAUUUUUAUAUCUUACUUAAUGCUGUCAUUUGGGUUUCAAUUUCUACUUUUUAUUUUUUUUGAGAGAGACAGAAAGAGAGCACGAGUGAGGGGAGGGGCAGAGAAAGAGGGAGAAUCCCAAGCAGGCUCUGCACUGUCAGCACAGAGCCUGAUGCAGGGUUCGAACUCACUCACGAACUGUGAGAUCAUGAGCUGAGCCGAAAUCAAGAGUCAGAUUUCUAACCGACUGAGCCAUCCAGCUGCUCCAAUAUUCCUUUUGUUUUUUUAAACUUUAUUUAUUUUGAGACAGAGAGAGAGAGAGAGAGAGAGAGAGAGAGAGCAGGAGCAGAGGAGGGGCAGAGAGAGAGGAGGAGGAGAGAGAGAAUCCCAAGCAGGCUCUGCACAGUCAGCCCAGAGCCCGAUGCAGGGUUCGAACUGACAAACCAUGAGAUCAUGACCUGAGCCGAAACCAAGAGUCAGACACUUAACCGACUGAGCCACCCAGGUGCCCUGUACUGUUUCCAUGUUCCAUUGCAACAUCAUAAACCACCCCAAACUCAGCGAUGUAACGCAAACACCAUUUUAUUACGUGUUAUUAUCUUUGCAGCCUGCGUGGGUCAGUAACGCAGACAUGGCACGUAACCAGAGUUAUCCCAGCGUCUUGUCAUCAGAGCCAUCCUGGCCCCUGUCUGAGUGAUGCUCUAGCAGCGGGCAUGGGAACCAAUAUGGAAGAAAGGUGAGUGAAGGAAGGAAAGAAGCUCCCUGGGGGUCUAGGUAUGGAGUCUCCUUCAUUUCGGGGACACGGGCUAUGAAAGAGAGUGUGGCACCCCCCUGCCCGGGCAGCCUUACCUGGCUUCCUGGGGUGGCCAGCCCAGGAGGCAGCUGCCUCAUGGGCUCCAGGUAGAGCAGCAGAGCGAACGCGGGCCUGUGGCGUCUUCAGUCCCAAGAGCUGCUACGUGUCAUCAGUGUUUACUCUGUUACACUCUUGUUUGUCCUUGUGGCUUGUCACACCACAAGUGAUGUAGUUGUCCACUCGGGUGCUUCAUGGAAAGCACCCAGAAACAGGAACAGCAUCACGGGGCCAGCCUCCCACACAGAAGCCCGUGGCCGACCCCAGAUAUCCACGAGCGAGGGAGAGCUGUGUCAUCGCGUGCUUUACCGUUUCCGGAGGAGUAGCCUUCCCGAGCAGGGAAGGCGCAGGAGGAAGCCUUCAAACACUGGGUGAGACUAGAACAGGGGCAUCAGGUCUCAAGUGAGACCUUGAGCCGUCACCCUCCCCUCCAGUGCCCGGUGGGGACGCCGGCCUGCAACAGAGCUUGGGCGUUUUGGGCGAUGCGCGUGACAUCCUGUUAUGCUGUUUGUCCUGCGUUUGAAAAAGACCUGUGUGUGCAUACGAUAAUAGCAACACUUUGCUUUGGGGAACGUUUUCAGGAAUCUGGUCACCCACAUCCGUGGCUGGCACGUUCAUCGAAUGUCCCGAAGAAUCUCUCCAACACUCGAGCCAACAUGCCCGCACCAGCUGCAAAAG
rnacentral:lncRNA from 1 species